rnacentral:tRNA from 3 species
AGGAAAAAAGCGAGGAAGGACAUCAUAAUGAGAUCCUAAUCUUAAAACAACAAAACAAAAAUGGGGGAUAUGGCGAAAUUGGUAGACGCUACGGACUUAAAAUCCGUCGACUUUAGAAAUCGUGAGGGUUCGAGUCCCUCUAUCCCCA